CUACGGGCCGCUCCAGUGAGGAAUAUUGCACAAUGGGGGGAACCCUGAUGCAGCAACGCCGCGUGGAGGAUGACGCAUUUCGGUGUGUAAACUCCUUUUAUAUGUCAAGAAAAUGACGGUAGCAUAUGAAUAAGCACCGGCUAACUCCGUGCCAGCAGCCGCGGUAAUACGGAGGGUGCAAGCGUUACUCGGAAUCACUGGGCGUAAAGGACGCGUAGGCGGGUUGGAAAGUCAGGUGUGAAAUCCUACAGCUUAACUGUAGAACUGCACUUGAAACUUCUAAUCUAGAGUAUGGGAGGGGGAGAUGGAAUUAGUGGUGUAAGGGUAAAAUCCGUAGAUAUCACUAGGAAUACCUAAAGCGAAGGCGAUCUCCUGGAACAUUACUGACGCUAAGGCGUGAAAGCGUGGGGAGCAAACAAGAUUAGAUACCCCGGUAGUC
rnacentral:rRNA from 1 species